UACGUAGGUGGCAAGCGUUGUCCGGAAUUAUUGGGCGUAAAGCGCGCGCAGGCGGUCGUUCAAGUCGCGUGUGAAAGCCCCCGGCUCAACUGGGGAGGGUCACGCGAUACUGAUCGACUGGAAGGCAGGAGAGGGUAGUGGAAUUCCCGGUGUAGUGGUGAAAUGCGUAGAUAUCGGGAGGAACACCAGUGGCGAAGGCGACUACCUGGCCUGUUCUUGACGCUGAGGCGCGAAAGCUAGGGGAGCAAACGGG
rnacentral:rRNA from 1 species